rnacentral:rRNA from 1 species
UAGGGAAUAUUGCGCAAUGGACGAAAGUCUGACGCAGCGACGCCGCGUGAGUGAUGAAGGCCUUAGGGUCGUAAAGCUCUGUUGAAUGGGAAGAAAAAAAUGACGGUACCAUUCGAGGAAGGACCGGCUAACUUCGUGCCAGCAGCCGCGGUAAUACGAGGGGUCCUAGCGUUGUUCGGAAUCAUUGGGCGUAAAGGGUGUGUAGGUGGCCAUGUAAGUCAGGUGUGAAAGCCCCGGGCUCAACCCGGGAAGUGCACUUGAUACUGCGUGGCUUGAGUACCGAAGAGGGUAGUGGAAUUCCAGGUGUAGUGGUGAAAUACGUAGAUAUCUGGAGGAACACCGGUGGCGAAGGCGGCUACCUGGUCGAGUACUGACACUGAGACACGAAAGCAUGGGGAUC